rnacentral:tRNA from 1 species
GAAAAUCCGUCGACUUUAAAAAUCGUGAGGGUUCAAGUCCCUCU